AGAGUUUGAUCCUGGCUCAGGAUGAAUGCUGGCGGCGUGCCUAAUACAUGCAAGUCGAGCGGUAAGGCCCUUCGGGGUACACGAGCGGCGGACGGCUGAGUAACGCGUGGGAACAUGCCCCAAAGUGAGGGAUAACGCACCGAAAGGUGUGCUAAUACCGCAUAUGGUCUUCGGAUUAAAGGAUUUAUCCGCUUUGGGAGUGGCCCGCGUACGAUUAGAUUGUUGGUGAGGUAACGGCUCACCAAGUCGACGAUCGUUAACUGGUCUGAGAGGAUGAUCAGUCAGACUGGAACUGAGACGCGGUCCAGACUCCUACGGGAGGCAGCAGUAAGGAAUCUUCCACAAUGGGCGAAAGCCUGAUGGAGCAACGCCGCGUGCAGGAUGAAGGCCCUCGGGUCGUAAACUGCUUUUAUGAGUGAAGAAUAUGACGGUAACUCAUGAAUAAGCACCGGCUAACUACGUG
rnacentral:rRNA from 1 species